AUAUCACUGGUUCCUAUAUGUCCACCAAAGCUAAGCAAUGUCAAGCUUGGUCAGUACCUAGAUGGGUGACCACUUGGGAAUACCAAGAGCUGUAAG